UUCCCUAGUAACUGCGAGUGAAGAGGGAAAAGCUCAAAUUUAAAAUCUGGCAGCCUCGCUGUCCGAGUUGUAAUUUAGAGAAGUGUUACCCGCGUUGGACCGUGUAUAAGUCUCCUGGAAUGGAGCGUCAUAGAGGGUGAGAAUCCCGUCUUUGACACGGACUCCCAAGGCAUUGUGGUGCGCUCUCGAAGAGUCGAGUUGUUUGGGAAUGCAGCUCUAAAUGGGUGGUAAAUUCCAUCUAAAGCUAAAUAUUGGCGAGAGACCGAUAGCGAACAAGUACCGUGAGGGAAAGAUGAAAAGAACUUUGGAAAGAGAGUUAAACAGUACGUGAAAUUGCUGAAAGGGAAACGCUUGAAGUCAGUCGCGUUGGCCGGGGAUCAGCCUUGCUUUUGUGAGGUGUACUUCCUGGUUGACGGGUCAGCAUCAAUUUCGACCACUGGAAAAGGAUUUGGGGAAUGUGGCACCUCCGGGUGUGUUAUAGCCUCUUGUCGUAUACAGUGGUUGGGAUUGAGGAACUCAGCACGCCGUAAGGCCGGGUUUCGACCACGUUCGUGCUUAGGAUGCUGGCAAAAUGGCUUUAAGCGACCCGUCUUGAAACACGGACCAAGGAGUCUAACAUGCCUGCGAGUGUUUGGGUGGAAAACCCGAGCGCGUAAUGAAAGUGAAAGUUGGGAUCUCUGUCGUGGAGAGCACCGACGCCCGGACCUGAUGUUUACUGACGGAUCUGCGGUAGAGCAUGUAUGUUGGGACCCGAAAGAUGGUGAACUAUGCCUGAAUAGGGUGAAGCCAGAGGAAACUCUGGUGGAGGCUCGUAGCGAUUCUGACGUGC
rnacentral:rRNA from 1 species